UUGGAACACUCUCACUCUUGGGUCCACCCUCUCAGGAAACCAUCUCUGAGUGUAGCCACCAUGCUGUGAGGGUCACGAACUAGAAGGAGAGGCCACACUUGGCCACUCAGGUGGACACAUUCAGCUGAACUCAUAGCCAACAAUGAGCACCAACUACCAGUCCUGUGAGGGAGCCAUCUUGGACACCCAACCCCGCUGAACUCUCAGAUGACUGAGCUCCAGCCAAUGUCUGACUGCAGCUACCCGAGAGGCACCAUGAGAGACUGCUCACCUGAGCCCAGAAUUCCCCCGAAACUACAGCGGAUUACUUCAGAUUUUCUUGAGGGUUUUUCUGUGCACUCUCCAAUUACCCUUUGAGUACCAGCACUAGAGGAUGAAUCUGGCACUUCUGCUUUCUGAAAUAGCCCUAGUGCCUCAUGGAGAUGAAAUUCUCUGGCUUUCAGUUUCCAUUUGGUAAUAGCCCCAUGCACAUCAAGUCUGACAGGCCGUUUAUUGCUUGGCCCUGUGCACAAGAACGGUGGAUGAGGGAAACUCCACAGAAGAAUUCGGGAGCAAGAGCAGCCUGGCCUCAUUGGGAAAGGGCAGGAAGCGAGUGGAUGGAAGAACUUAUCCGAGCUGUGUGAUGAUCAUUGUUAAGCACCAGGAACCGAUGGAUACAAAAAUGAAUAGAACUUGGUUCCUUCAUCAAGAUCCUUGGAACUUUGGGAAAAAGACAAAAAUCAAAGUUUGUAAUGCCGUGUGGUCUUAAGACCUCCUUCUUAAGAUGCUCCAUGAUGGUGAUAUUGCUCUCCGGAUCUUUCUGCCACUUAUUUACCAGCGGUCAUUUGAAGAGUAUCUGGCCUUUGUGACAUGCCAGCCACAUUUAUGGCUCCUUCCUCUGAACACUUCCUUGUAAUGGACUGUGUAGUCUUUUUACUCUAGGUGGAGUCCUUCAAGUGUAAACUAUUCACCGAGAAGCAACUAGCAAGCUUUGUCUCCAUUUAUGGGUACAUGUACCCCGAAAGUUAGUUGUUCGCUAAGUAUCUCGGGUUACCAUUUGAUUUUAAUUCAAUUAAAGUCUUACCAUUCUA